rnacentral:rRNA from 1 species
GGACCCGCACAAGUAGUGGAGCAUGUGGUUUAAUUCGAAAAUACGCGCAGAACCUUACCAACACUUGACAUGUUCGUCGCGACUUUAAGAGAUUAAAGUUUUCGGUUCGGCCGGACGAAACACAGGUGCUGCAUGGCUGUCGUCAGCUCGUGUCGUGAGAUGUUGGGUUAAGUCCCGCAACGAGCGCAACCCUCACUUUUUAGUUGCCAUCAUUUAGUUGGGCACUCUGAAAGAACUGCCAGUGAUAAGCUGGAGGAAGGUGGGGAUGACGUCAAGUCCUCAUGGCCCUUACGUGUUGGGCUACACACGUGCUACAAUGGUAUCUACAACAGGAAGCAAGACGGCGACGUUAAGCAAA